rnacentral:rRNA from 1 species
AAUCAACGCUGGCGGCGUGCCUAACACAUGCAAGUCGAGCGAGAAAAGGGGGGCAACUCCCUGAGUACAGCGGCGCACGGGUGAGUAACACGUGGGUAAUCUGCCCUGGAGUGGGGAAUAACACCGGGAAACCGGUGCUAAUACCGCAUACGAUAACGAGGUCUGCGGACUUUGUUAUGAAAGGAGCAAUUCGCUCCAGGAGGAGCCCGCGGCUGAUUAGCUAGUUGGUGGGGUAAUGGCUCACCAAGGCUACGAUCAGUAUCCGGUCUGAGAGCACGGUCGGACACACUGGAACUGAGACACGGUCCAAACUCCUACGGGAGGCAGCAGUGGGGAAUUUUUGGCAAUGGGGGAAACCCUGACCAAGCAACGCCGCGUGGGGGAUGAAGUCUCUUGGGACGUAAAACCCUUUCGACGGGGAAGAAACCGCAAGGUUGACGGUACCCGUAGAAGAAGCCCCGGCUAACUCCGUGCCAGCCGCCGCCGUAAAAC